rnacentral:rRNA from 1 species
CCACCGCGGUUAGACGAGAGGCCCCAGUUGAUAUUAUAACGGCGUAAAGGGUGGUUAAGGAUGAAAGAAAAAUAAAGCCAAAUGGCCCCUAGGCCGUCAUACGCUUCUGGGUGUCCGAAGCCCUAACACGAAAGUAGCUUUAAUAAACCAACCUGACCCCACGAAAACUGAGAAACAAACUGGGAUUAGAUACCCCACUAUGCUCAGCCGUAAACUUAGACAUCCAGCUACAAUUAGAUGUCCGCCAGGGUACUACGAGCAUUAGCUUAAAACCCAAAGGACCUGACGGUGUCUCAGACCCCCCUAGAGGAGCCUGUUCUAGAACCGAUAACCCCCGUUAAACCUCACCACUCCUAGCCGCCCCAGCCUAUAUACCGCCGUCGUCAGCUUACCCUGUGAAGGACAUAAAAGUAAGCAAAAUGGGCACAACCCAGAACGUCAGGUCGAGGUGUAGCGCAUGAAGUGGAAAGAAAUGGGCUACAUUUUCUGCUACAGAAUAUUACGAACAUGUACCAUGAAAUAGUGCUUGAAGGAGGAUUUAGUAGUAAAAGGGAAAUAGAGUGUCCCUUUGAACCCGGCUCUGAGACGCGUACACACCGCCCGUCACUCUCCCCUGUCGAAACGCAUUAAAAAUAUCUAAAACAAAAGCACUGACAAGGGGAGGCAAGUCGUAACACG